rnacentral:rRNA from 1 species
UUCGAUCAUGGCUCAGAUUGAACGCUGGCAGGAUGCUACAUGCAAGUCGAACGGCAGCACGGACUUCGGUCUGGUGGCGAGUGGCGAACGGGUGAGUAAUGUCGGAACGUGCCUGUAGCGGGGGAUAACUACGCGAAAGCUAAUACCGCAUACGCCCUUCGGGGAAAGCGAGAGGCCUUCGGGCCUCGCACUAUUAGAGCGGCGAUAUCGGAUUAGCUAGUUGGUGGGGUAACGGCUCACCAAGGCGACGAUCGUAGCGCUGGUUUGAGAGGACGACCAGCCACACUGGGACUGAGACACGGCCCAGACUCUACGGGAGGCAGCAGUGGGAAUUUUGGACAAUGGGGGAAACCUGAUCCAGCCAUCCCGCGUGUGCGAUGAAGGCCUUCGGGUUGUAAGCACUUUUGGCAGGAAAGAAACGGCACGGGAUAAUACCCCGUGCAACUGACAGUACCUGCAGAAUAAGCACCGGCUAACUACGUGCCAGCAGCCGCGGUAAUACGUAGGGUGCAAGCGUUAAUCGGAAUUACUGGGCGUAAAGCGUGCGCGAGCGGUUCGGAAAGAAAGAUGUGAAAUCCAGAGCUUAACUUUGGAACUGCAUUUUUAACUACCGAGCUAGAGUGUGUCAGAGGGAGGUGGAAUUCCGCGUGUAGCAGUGAAAUGCGUAGAUAUGCGGAGGAACACCGAUGGCGAAGGCAGCCUCCUGGGAUAACACUGACGCUCAUGCACGAAAGCGUGGGGAGCAAACAGGAUUAGAUAUCCUGGUAGUCCACGCCCUAAACGAUGUCAACUAGCUGUUGGGGCCUUCGGGCCUUGGUAGCGCAGCUAACGUGAAGUUGACCGCCUGGGAGUACGGUCGCAAGAUUAAAACUCAAGGAAUUGACGGGGACCCGCACAAGCGGUGGAUGAUGUGGAUUAAUUCGAUGCAACGCGAAAAACCUUACCUACCCUUGACAUGUCUGGAAUCGAAGAGAUUUGGGAGUGCUCGCAAGAGAACCGGAACACAGGUGCUGCAUAGCUGUCGUCAGCUCGUGUCGUGAGAUGUUGGGUUAAGUCCCGCAACGAGCGCAACCCUUGUCAUUAGUUGCUACGAAAGGGGCACUCUAAUGAGACUGCCGGUGACUCAGCCGGAGGAAGGUGGGAAUGACGUCAAGUCCUCAUGGCCCUUAUGGGUAGGGCUUCACACAUCAUACAAUGGUCAGGACAGAGGGGUCGCCAACCCGCGAGGGGGAGCCAAUCCCAGAAGCGAUCGUAGUCCGGAUCGCAGUCUGCGCUCGACUGCGUGAAGUCGGAAUCGCUAGUAAUCGCGGAUCAGCAUGUCGCGGUGAAUUUGCGUUCCCGGGUCUUGUACACACCGCCCGUCACACCAUGGGAGUGGGUUUUACCAGAAGUAGUUAACCUAACCGUAAGGAGGGCGAUUACCACGGUAGGAUUCAUGACUGGGGGUGAAGUCGUAACAAGG